rnacentral:rRNA from 1 species
ACGGGAGGCAGCAGUGGGGAAUAUUGGGCAAUGGGCGAAAGCCUGACCCAGCAACGCCGCGUGAGGGAAGAAGGUCUUCGGAUUGUAAACUUCUUUUAUAAGGGACGAAGGAAGUGACGGUACCUUAUGAAUAAGCCACGGCUAACUACGUGCCAGCAGCCGCGGUAAUACGUAGGUGGCAAGCGUUAUCCGGAUUUACUGGGUGUAAAGGGCGCGUAGGCGGGAAGGCAAGUCAGGUGUGAAAUCUAUGGGCUUAACCCAUAAACUGCACUUGAAACUGUCUUUCUUGAGUGCUGGAGAGGUAGACGGAAUUCCUUGUGUAGCGGGGAAAUGCGUAGAUAUAAGGAAGAACACCAGUGGCGAAGGCGGUCUACUGGACAGUAACUGACACUGAGGCGCGAAAGCGUGGGGAGCAAACAGGAUUAGAUACCCUGGUA